GCUCGGGUGACGAAAUGGCAAACGUGGCCGGCUCAAACCUGGUCGAUUGGGGGUUCGAAUCCCCCUCCGAGCA
rnacentral:tRNA from 1 species